rnacentral:rRNA from 1 species
CCUACGGGAGGCAGCAGUGAGGAAUAUUGGUCAAUGGGCGAGAGCCUGAACCAGCCAAGUAGCGUGAAGGAUGAAGGAUCUACGGGUUGUAAACUUCUUUUAUAAGGGAAUAAAGUGAGGCACGUGUGCCUUUUUGUAUGUACCUUAUGAAUAAGCAUCGGCUAACUCCGUGCCAGCAGCCGCGGUAAUACGGAGGAUUCGAGCGUUAUCCGGAUUUAUUGGGUUUAAAGGGAGCGUAGGUGGGUAGUUAAGUCAGCUGUGAAAGUUUGCGGCUCAACCGUAAAAUUGCCGUUGAAACUGGCAGUCUUGAGUACAGUUGAGGUAGGCGGAAUUCGUGGUGUAGCGGUGAAAUGCUUAGAUAUCACGAAGAACUCCGAUUGCGAAGGCAGCUUACUAAACUGCAACUGACACUGAUGCUCGAAAGUGUGGGUAUCAAACAGGAUUAGAUACCCCGGUAGUC